rnacentral:lncRNA from 1 species
GAAUAUGUUGAUUAUCGGAGAGUUGGAUGCUUUGAAAUGGUUUCACCAAGGUGUUUUUUUUCCUUCACAGAGCGCUUUGCUAUGGGGAGAAACGAGCCCAGCAAGGCUGAGGAAAAGAUUGGAUAUCCAUAUCCGUUGGAGGCUCCAAGCAAACACACUCAGAGGGUGACGAGAGCUCAGCAGACCCCAGGAUUGGCAAGUCCUCAAGCCCUCUGCUCUCCUUUACGGAGGAGAGCUGAGAGUAUUUGAAAAUUACCAUCCGGUGUACUAGUAGGAAAGCAGCAUAGCCUAGUGGACAGAGCCUGG